rnacentral:rRNA from 1 species
UACGAAGGGGGCUAGCGUUGCUCGGAAUUACUGGGCGUAAAGGGCGCGUAGGCGGGUCGUUUAGUUAGAGGUGAAAGCCCAGGGCUCAACCCUGGAAUUGCCUUUAAUACUGGCGGCCUUGAGUAUGGCAGAGGUGUGUGGAACUCCGAGUGUAGAGGUGAAAUUCGUAGAUAUUCGGAAGAACACCAGUGGCGAAGGCGGCCCACUGGACGUGUAUUGACGCUGAGGUGCGAAAGCGUGGGGAGCAAACAGG